rnacentral:rRNA from 1 species
UGGCGGACGGGUGAGUAACGCGUGGGUAACCUGCCUUACACAGGGGGAUAACACCUGGAAACAGGUGCUAAUACCGCAUAAGCGCACAGGGCCGCAUGGCCCGGUGUGAAAAACUCCGGUGGUGUAAGAUGGACCCGCGUCUGAUUAGCUUGUUGGCGGGGUAGAGGCCCACCAAGGCGACGAUCAGUAGCCGGCCUGAGAGGGUGGACCGGCCACAUUGGGACUGAGACACGGCCCAAACUCCUACGGGAGGCAGCAG